rnacentral:rRNA from 1 species
AUCUCUUAAAGCUGUUCUCAGUUCGGACUGCAGUCUGCAACUCGACUGCACGAAGCUGGAAUCGCUGGUAAUCGCGGAUCAGCACGCCGCGGUGAAUACGUUCCCGGGCCUUGUACACACCGCCCGUCACACCAUGGAAGUCUGCAAUGCCCGAAGCCGGUGGCCUAACCACUUAUGUGGAAGGAGCCGUCUAAGGCAGGGCAGAUGACUGGGGUGAAGUCGUAACAAGGUAAC